rnacentral:misc_RNA from 1 species
CAAACUUCAAGCCCCCCUCAUGGCUUGGUGUUGGGCGUCUGUCCCCCCGGGGACUCGCCUCAAAUGCAUUGGCAGCCGGCACGUUGGCUUCGAGCGCAGCAGAAACGCGCGCGGCGUCUGACGGUGCCUGGCUCUCCAGGAAGCCUCCCCCCAAGU